AGCGUACACGGUGGAUGCCCUGGCAGUCAGAGGCGAUGAAGGACGUGCUAAUCUGCGAAAAGCGUCGGUAAGGUGAUAUGAACCGUUAUAACCGGCGAUGUCCGAAUGGGGAAACCCAGUGCAAUUCGUUGCACUAUCGUUAACUGAAUACAUAGGUUAACGAGGCGAACCGGGGGAACUGAAACAUCUAAGUACCCCGAGGAAAAGAAAUCAACCGAGAUUCCCCCAGUAGCGGCGAGCGAACGGGGAGCAGCCCAGAGUCUGAAUCAGCUUGUGUGUUAGUGGAACGGUCUGGAAAGUCCGACGGUACAGGGUGAUAGUCCCGUACACCAAAAUGCACAGGUUGUGAACUCGAAGAGUAGGGCGGGACACGUGGUAUCCUGUCUGAAUAUGGGGGGACCAUCCUCCAAGGCUAAAUACUCCUGACUGACCGAUAGUGAACCAGUACCGUGAGGGAAAGGCGAAAAGAACCCCGGCGAGGGGAGUGAAAAAGAACCUGAAACCGUGUACGUACAAGCAGUGGGAGCACCUUCGGGUGUGACUGCGUACCUUUUGUAUAAUGGGUCAGCGACUUAUAUUCUGUAGCAAGGUUAACCGUAUAGGGGAGCCGCAGGGAAACCGAGUCUUAACUGGGCGUUAAGUUGCAGGGUAUAGACCCGAAACCCGGUGAUCUAGCCAUGGGCAGGUUGAAGGUUGGGUAACACUAACUGGAGGACCGAACCGACUAAUGUUGAAAAAUUAGCGGAUGACUUGUGGCUGGGGGUGAAAGGCCAAUCAAACCGGGAGAUAGCUGGUUCUCCCCGAAAGCUAUUUAGGUAGCGCCUCGUGAAUUCAUCUUCGGGGGUAGAGCACUGUUUCGGCUAGGGGGUCAUCCCGACUUACCAACCCGAUGCAAACUACGAAUACCGAAGAAUGUUAUCACGGGAGACACACGGCGGGUGCUAACGUCCGUCGUGAAGAGGGAAACAACCCAGACCGCCAGCUAAGGUCCCAAAGUCAUGGUUAAGUGGGAAACGAUGUGGGAAGGCACAGACAGCCAGGAUGUUGGCUUAGAAGCAGCCAUCAUUUAAAGAAAGCGUAAUAGCUCACUGGUCGAGUCGGCCUGCGCGGAAGAUGUAACGGGGCUAAACCAUGCACCGAAGCUGCGGCAGCGACACUAUGUGUUGUUGGGUAGGGGAGCGUUCUGUAAGCCUGCGAAGGUGUGCUGUGAGGCAUGCUGGAGGUAUCAGAAGUGCGAAUGCUGACAUAAGUAACGAUAAAGCGGGUGAAAAGCCCGCUCGCCGGAAGACCAAGGGUUCCUGUCCAACGUUAAUCGGGGCAGGGUGAGUCGACCCCUAAGGCGAGGCCGAAAGGCGUAGUCGAUGGGAAACAGGUUAAUAUUCCUGUACUUGGUGUUACUGCGAAGGGGGGACGGAGAAGGCUAUGUUAGCCGGGCGACGGUUGUCCCGGUUUAAGCAUGUAGGCUGAUUAUCCAGGCAAAUCCGGAUAAUCAAGGCUGAGGUGUGAUGACGAGGCACUACGGUGCUGAAGUAACAAAUGCCCUGCUUCCAGGAAAAGCCUCUAAGCAUCAGGUAACAUCAAAUCGUACCCCAAACCGACACAGGUGGUCAGGUAGAGAAUACCAAGGCGCUUGAGAGAACUCGGGUGAAGGAACUAGGCAAAAUGGUGCCGUAACUUCGGGAGAAGGCACGCUGGUGUGUAGGUGAAGCCCCUGCGGGUGGAGCUGAGACCAGUCGAAGAUACCAGCUGGCUGCAACUGUUUAUUAAAAACACAGCACUGUGCAAACACGAAAGUGGACGUAUACGGUGUGACGCCUGCCCGGUGCCGGAAGGUUAAUUGAUGGGGUUAUCCGUAAGGAGAAGCUCUUGAUCGAAGCCCCGGUAAACGGCGGCCGUAACUAUAACGGUCCUAAGGUAGCGAAAUUCCUUGUCGGGUAAGUUCCGACCUGCACGAAUGGCGUAAUGAUGGCCAGGCUGUCUCCACCCGAGACUCAGUGAAAUUGAACUCGCUGUGAAGAUGCAGUGUACCCGCGGCAAGACGGAAAGACCCCGUGAACCUUUACUAUAGCUUGACACUGAACAUUGAGCCUUGAUGUGUAGGAUAGGUGGGAGGCUUUGAAGCGUGGACGCCAGUCUGCGUGGAGCCAACCUUGAAAUACCACCCUUUAAUGUUUGAUGUUCUAACGUUGGCCCCUGACCGGGGUUGCGGACAGUGUCUGGUGGGUAGUUUGACUGGGGCGGUCUCCUCCCAAAGCGUAACGGAGGAGCACGAAGGUUAGCUAAUCCUGGUCGGACAUCAGGAGGUUAGUGCAAUGGCAUAAGCUAGCUUGACUGCGAGCGUGACGGCGCGAGCAGGUGCGAAAGCAGGUCAUAGUGAUCCGGUGGUUCUGAAUGGAAGGGCCAUCGCUCAACGGAUAAAAGGUACUCCGGGGAUAACAGGCUGAUACCGCCCAAGAGUUCAUAUCGACGGCGGUGUUUGGCACCUCGAUGUCGGCUCAUCACAUCCUGGGGCUGAAGUAGGUCCCAAGGGUAUGGCUGUUCGCCAUUUAAAGUGGUACGCGAGCUGGGUUUAGAACGUCGUGAGACAGUUCGGUCCCUAUCUGCCGUGGGCGCUGGAGAAUUGAGGGGGGCUGCUCCUAGUACGAGAGGACCGGAGUGGACGCAUCACUGGUGUUCGGGUUGUCAUGCCAAUGGCACUGCCCGGUAGCUAAAUGCGGAAGAGAUAAGUGCUGAAAGCAUCUAAGCACGAAACUUGCCCCGAGAUGAGUUCU
rnacentral:rRNA from 1 species